GCGAGGGAGGAUAGGCCUUGCCCCAGGAGAGCGCUGGGCAGCCGCAGUCGUGCCAUCGAACGCCUGUAGGGGUCCUGCUUGGCAGCCUCAUGUCUGAAAUGUUCUAGAUGUGGAUGAUCACACCUAACUUCAAAGCUCAGGACUUCCUAGGAAAUACCUUCUAACAGAAGGUUUCUCAAGUCUCUUCUUUGCAAGCCUGUGUGAUCAGUGCCUUGAGUGAAGAGAGUUCCUUGUAGAGUGGUCUCCAGGUAUGUAGUGCAAAAAGGAUUAUCAGAUGGUAGUAAUGGAUUGCUUUCUAUAUUAAAAAGAAGUUCAGAUAGACCUUACCAUGAAACUGAAGGAAACCAAAAUGAGUUUGGACUGAUCUAAAUUGGAAGAAACCUAAGGAAAGCUAUUAGUGGAUCCAUUUAUUUAUCCCAGACUGGCUGGUCCUCUGGAAUGGAAUCCAUGUGAAUAGUAUGGGAAAGGAGAAUGCUGUCCUGAGGCAGUGGAGACAUUCCUAUUGAGAAAUGGCUCUGACAUAGGGGUUAGUGUCUUGUAGGAUGUUCAUAGAGCUAUAGCUCAACCUUCAGCCAGCUACCUCUUCUGUGUGCUCGAGACUGCAAAUGAAAUUAAACAUCUUUUACAGGGAGGAAGCCAGCAUGUGCGGGGAACUUCAGCUGACAAUACAAACACCAGCUUAGGAUGUCCUGAGUGGCUGAUUACUGAAUUCAUACUAGAUGACUCCAGUUGUCCCCUGUAAAGCGUUGUGUUGAGAGUGGAACUGAGACAAGCAGUGGCUAAAACAGCACCCCUUCAAUCAGCAUGCU